rnacentral:rRNA from 1 species
UCCCUACGGGCGGCAGCAGUGGGGAAUUUUGCGCAAUGGGGGAAACCCUGACGCAGCAACGCCGCGUGAGUGAUGAAGGCCUUCGGGUCGUAAAGCUCUGUCAGAGGGAAAGAAGUGCAGUGGUGCUAAUAUCAUCAUUGCUUGACGGUACCCUCAAAGGAAGCACCGGCUAACUCCGUGCCAGCAGCCGCGGUAAUACGGAGGGUGCGAGCGUUGUUCGGAAUUAUUGGGCGUAAAGCGCGUGUAGGCGGUUUAGUAAGGCUGAUGUGAAAGCCCCGGGCUCAACCUUGGAAGUGCAUUGGAAACUGGCAGACUUGAAUACGGGAGAGGGUAGUGGAAUUCCUAGUGUAGGAGUGAAAUCCGUAGAUAUUAGGAGGAACACCGGUGGCGAAGGCGGCUACCUGGACCGAUAUUGACGCUGAGACGCGAAAGCGUGGGGAGCAAACAGGAUUAGAUACCCUGGUAGUC